UACGAAGGUUGCAAGCGUUACUCGGAAUUACUAGGCGUAAAGGGCAGGUAGGUGGUUUUGUAGGUCUAUUGUGAAAGCUCCUGGCUUAACUGGGAGAGGUCAAUGGAUACUGCAGAACUUGAGUAUAGGAGAGGUUACUGGAAUUCCCGGUGUAGCGGUGAAAUGCGCAGAGAUCGGGAGGAACACCAAUGGCGAAAGCAGGUAACUGGACUAUUACUGACACUCAGCUGCGAAAGCUAGGGGAGCAAACAGU
rnacentral:rRNA from 1 species